GGUCACGCUCGCGCGCCAGGAUUACCGCCGGGCGCUUCAGGCGCGCCCCGACUUCUGGGACGCGAAGUUCAACUUCGACGUCGCCUC
rnacentral:tRNA from 1 species